GUGCUCACUUUGGUAGCACAUAUACUAAAAUUGGAACAGUACAGAGAAGAUUAGUAUGGCCCUUGUGUACAGAUGACAUGCAAAUUCGUGAAGCAUUGCAUACUUUU
rnacentral:snRNA from 1 species